UGGGGAAUUUUGGACAAUGGGCGAAAGCCUGAUCCAGCAAUGCCGCGUGCAGGAUGAAGGCCUUCGGGUUGUAAACUGCUUUUGUACGGAACGAAAAAGCUUCUCCUAAUACGAGAGGCCCAUGACGGUAACGUAAGAAUAAGCACCGGCUAACUACGGGCCAGCAGCCGCGGUAAUACGGAGGGUGCGAGCGUUAAUCGGAAUUAAUGGGCGGAAAGCGUGCGCAGGCGGUUAUGUAAGACAGAUGUGAAAUCCCCGGGCUCAACCUGGGAACUGCGUUUGUGACUGCUUGACUUGAGUACGGUAGAGGGAGAUGGAAUUCCGCGUGUAGCAGUGAAAUGCGUAGAUAUGCGGAGGAACACCAAUGGCGAAGGCCGUCCCCUGGACCUUUACUGACGCUAAUGCGCGAAAGCGUGGGGAGCAAACA
rnacentral:rRNA from 1 species